rnacentral:lncRNA from 1 species
CUUACUCUCCCUGUCUAGACGAAAUUUUCUAUCCUUUGACCAGCAUCUCCCCAAACCCACCCAUUUGUUCAUUUUUCUUUCUUUUAACCAUAUCUCAGUUACUUAUCAAUCUGUUUAAAGACGCUUUUCAUGAGCUGCUAAUUCCGCAAAUGUGAGAAACACAUACAGGAUGCCUGCCCUUUGGAGGUGGACGUCUAGAAGGGAGGACAGAUAUUGAUCGAAGAAUUGUCCAAAUCUGCAGCUGCGAACUGCAAUAAGUUUCCUGUGGACUAGUCCUCCUCCCGAGACAUGGUGGCUGUAAUGAUCUCAAGCUGGGAUCUCAUGGACGGACAGGGGAACUCAAGCUAAACCCUGGCCCUCAAAGAGUUCUGCGCAAUGCAGUCCCAGGCCACAUGACAUUCCUGCU